rnacentral:rRNA from 1 species
CGGAUAGGCUAUCAAUGCUGGAAUGCUUGGUAGCCGAAAGCUCCGGCGCCUAAGGAUAGGUCUGCGGCCCAUUAGGUAGUUGUUAAUGUAACGGAUUAACAAGCCUACGAUGGGUACGGGUUGUGAGAGCAAUAGCCCGGAGAUGGACUCUGAGAAAAGAGUCCAGGCCCUACGGGGUGCAUCAGGCGCGAAAACUUUACAAUGUGCGAAAGCACGAUAAGGGAACUCCAAGUGCCUCUUAAAGAGGCUGUUUAGGUGUCUAAAAAGCACCUAAAGGAAGGGCUGGGUAAGACCGGUGCCAGCCGCCGCGGUAACACCGGCAGCCCGAGUGGUAGCCACUUUUAUUGGGUCUAAAGCGUCCGUAGCUGGCCUUGCAAGUCCCUUGGGAAAUCUGGCCGCUUAACGGUCAGGCUUCUAGGGAUACUGCUAGGCUUGGGACCGGGAGAGGUCAGAGGUACUCCAGGGGUAGGGGUGAAAUCCUUUAAUCCCUGGGGGACCACCUGUGGCGAAGGCGUCUGACCAGAACGGGUCCGACGGUGAGGGACGAAAGCUAGGGGCGCGAACCGGAUUAGAUACCCGAGUAGUCCUAGCCGUAAACGAUGCGGGCUAGAUAUUGGUACUACUGCGUGUGGUACCAGUGUCGAAGGGAAGCCGUUAAGCCCGCCAUCUGGGAAGUACGGUCGCAAGGCUGAAACUUAAAGGAAUUGGCGGGGGAGCACCAUAACGGGUGGAGCCUGCGGUUUAAUUGGAUC